UACGUAGGGUGCGAGCGUUAAUCGGAAUUACUGGGCGUAAAGCGUGCGCAGGCGGUUUUGUAAGCCAGAUGUGAAAUCCCCGGGCUUAACCUGGGAAUGGCAUUUGGGACUGCAAGGCUCGAGUGCGGCAGAGGAGACUGGAAUUCCUGGUGUAGCAGUGAAAUGCGUAGAUAUCAGGAGGAACAUCGAUGGCGAAGGCAGGUCUCUGGGCUGACACUGACGCUCAUGCACGAAAGCGUGGGGAGCAAACAGG
rnacentral:rRNA from 1 species